AGAGUUUGAUCAUGGCUCAGGACGAACGCUGGCGGCGUGCUUUACACAUGCAAGUCGAGCGAUGAGAUCCCUUCGGGGAAGGAUUAGCGGCGAACGGGUGAGGAACACGUGAGGAAUCUGUAAUCAACACUGGGAUAACUCCGGGAAACCGGGGCUAAUACCGGAUACGAGACCUGCAGGCAUCUGCGGGUCUGGAAAGUUUUUCGGUUGAAGAUGACCUCGCGGCCUAUCAGCUUGUUGGUGAGGUAAUGGCUCACCAAGGCGACGACGGGUAGCCGGCCUGAGAGGGCGACCGGCCACACUGGGACUGAGACACGGCCCAGACUCCUACGGGAGGCAGCAGUGGGGAAUAUUGGGCAAUGGAGGGAACUCUGACCCAGCGACGCCGCGUGCGGGAUGAAGGCCUUCGGGUUGUAAACCGCUUUCAGCAAGGAAGAAGCGAAAGUGACGGUACUUGCAGAAGAAGCACCGGCUAACUAUGUGCCAGCAGCCGCGGUAAUACAUAGGGUGCAAGCGUUGUCCGGAAUUAUUGGGCGUAAAGAGCUCGUAGGUGGUUUAUCACGUCGGAUGUGAAAUUCUGAGGCUCAACCUCGGACCUGCAUUCGAUACGGGCAAACUAGAGUGUGGUAGGGGAGACUGGAAUUCCUGGUGUAGCGGUGGAAUGCGCAGAUAUCAGGAGGAACACCAAUGGCGAAGGCAGGUCUCUGGGCCAUUACUGACACUGAGGAGCGAAAGCGCGGGGAGCGAACAGGAUUAGAUACCCUGGUAGUCCGCGCCGUAAACGGUGGGCACUAGUUGUGGGAACCUUCCACGGUUUCCGCGACGCAGCUAACGCAUUAAGUGCCCCGCCUGGGGAGUACGAUCGCAAGAUUAAAACUCAAGGAAUUGACGGGCCCGCACAAGCAGCGGAGCAUGCGGCUUAAUU
rnacentral:rRNA from 1 species